UGCAGAUUGUGGUUAUAUUCGUUUCAAAUCUUAUAUUGAGAAAUAUUGUUGUUAUUUAGAAAUAAAAUGAAAAUGAAUUAUGUUCAAGUUUUGUAUGUUUGAUAACAACUAUUUUCCCAUUAUUUAUCGAGCGUCGAAUAAGUAGGGAAGCAAUAAAGAACAACUUGUUACGAAAAUGUACGAAAUCCAACAGCUGGUUGAAGCGGGAAUGCAAGCAAACCAUAGCAAAGUCAUGUAGAGUCUCGUGCAUUUGUGCUCCCCCGUGCAGCAUGAGCACUCAGAAUUUAGGAUAAACAAGAAUAGUUUAAAUUGUAAUCAUUUUAUUGAUAUAUCACAUUAAAACAAAGCUUAGUAUAAAAAGUAUACUAUCGAACAUUGAAAUUUAUACUAAGGCUGAUUUGUGCUUCAUUAUUAAGAAUGGUAUUAUGUUUUCUCUGAAAAGUGCGAAGAGACAUGUUUUCUGCUCAUUCAAUCGAAUUGAAGUCCUACAGCAUAUGGCCAACCACAUUUUAAUUUUGAUACAGAAAAGCCGUCACCGCACGAGUCGUGAUGGAAAAAAUGAAGGCUGAAAUCGGAAAUCUUUACCUGGAGCGAUCGUCUUGGUGGUUGCAGUAAAUAAACUAAAAGAUUCGUUUCACCGUGACCAAUGUGGAGAGGUGCCAAUGCAAAGUAUAGCACCUGGGACCAACAAGUGGCAAAAACAUGGGACGAAGACGUUACUGGAGCCAGCCCAGAACAGGAGUAACUUAUACGUAAAUUCGCUGUACUCAAGAAAUAUAGUUCACGGUGAAAUGGGCCUAGAUCACGACGAUCUGUGUCACUACGACCCAAUGACACUGAUUAUUUAGUGUAAUUUACCCAGAUCCCGACGGAGGCGACGGAGGCGACGGAGGCAACGGAGGAGGAAAACCUGACCAAGCAUAAACACCGGGUGUGAAGUUUGCAUUUGGAUUACGGAAAUAUGCUUGAGCUGGUGGAUGUCGUCGUUGUGAAGCGUGUUCAGCAUGGAAUUGCCAUCAUCGAGUUGUCGAGUCCUUGCUCUCUGGACAAGAGCAUAUGACGUGGACACCAUCAUCAAAUUUGUCGAUGAAUAUGAAGCACUUCCGUUAAAAUUAUAUGUAACUACUGCUCUUGUAUCAAUAAAAUAAUAAAGUGUAACUAAAAUAUAUUGAAAGAAA